rnacentral:rRNA from 1 species
UGGUGGAGUGAUUUGUCUGGUUAAUUCCGAUAACGAACGAGACCUCUACCUGCUAAAUAGGCGCCGAUUCCUGCGGGAAUGCGGUGGACUUCUUAGAGGGACUGUUGACGUUUCCAGUCAACGGAAGUUGGAGGCAAUAACA